rnacentral:tRNA from 1 species
GUAGUGAUGGCUCAGUGGUAGAAUUCUCACCUUCCACGUGGAAGACCCAGGUUUGAUUCCUGGCCAAAACA